GAAAUUUCUGUCAAAGGUGAAGAUUUCCGGCGGUGGUCGGUGCAAUGUGACCAAUGGGCAUUUCAAUGACAAUGGGAGAAUGGCAGAGAAUUACCCUCGAGG